rnacentral:rRNA from 1 species
UGGGGAAUUUUGGACAAUGGGCGAAAGCCUGAUCCAGCAAUGCCGCGUGUGUGAAGAAGGCCUUCGGGUUGUAAAGCACUUUUGUCCGGAAAGAAAUCCUUGGCUCUAAUACAGUCGGGGGAUGACGGUACCGGAAGAAUAAGCACCGGCUAACUACGUGCCAGCAGCCGCGGUAAUACGUAGGGUGCAAGCGUUAAUCGGAAUUACUGGGCGUAAAGCGUGCGCAGGCGGUUUGCUAAGACCGAUGUGAAAUCCCCGGGCUCAACCUGGGAACUGCAUUGGUGACUGGCAGGCUAGAGUAUGGCAGAGGGGGGUAGAAUUCCACGUGUAGCAGUGAAAUGCGUAGAGAUGUGGAGGAAUACCGAGC